AUGGAGGAAGAGCAGCACGCUAUCAUCCCCGAAGAUCCGGUUAUGCACGGUGAUUUGACCGUGCACGAUGAUGGUGUGAAAUGCAUCAUCACCGCCACCAAAGAGGCGGAGGCUGACCUGAACACCGACCCCCAGGCCUUCCAUCAUUGUCACAAACGUCACGACGAGGCGGCGGCCAUUGUGUACUGUGAUAAGAUAGUCUUCAAACUUGUCGUCCGCAACCGUGUCGACAGUGUCUGGAAAGCAAGGUCCGAUUGUGUCGGGGAUGUUAAAAGGGAGAGAGAGGGAUUGUUGCGGAAUAUGAUGGAUGUAUUAUUGAGCCUCGAGGGCGAGUAUAUAUUAGAUACAAGACUUGACGCCUCCCCUAGAGAUAAGGUAGGAGACGUAUUGCAAAUCCUAGACUACCAAACAUAUAUAACCCAAAUAUAUCUUUAA
rnacentral:rRNA from 1 species